rnacentral:ncRNA from 1 species
GUUUUCUCUUGGGGCAGGGUGAAAUUCCCGACCGGCGGUGAUAGACAGCUUAGCUGUCUUCAGUCCGUGACCCGUUUUUAUAACGGUGGAUUUGGUGAGAUUCCAAAGCCGACAGUAUAGUCUGGAUGGGAAAGAGGAAAC